rnacentral:rRNA from 1 species
UAACGCGUGGGUAACCUGCCCUAUACACAUGGAUAACAUACUGAAAAGUUUACUAAUACAUGAUAAUAUAUAUUUACGGCAUCGUANAUAUAUCAAAGUGUUAGCGGUAUAGGAUGGACCCGCGUCUGAUUAGCUAGUUGGUGAGAUAACUGCCCACCAAGGCGACGAUCAGUAGCCGACCUGAGAGGGUGAUCGGCCACAUUGGAACUGAGACACGGUCCAAACUCCUACGGGAGGCAGCAGCC